GUGACUGCGUACCUUUUGUAUAAUGGGUCAGCGACUUAUAUUCUGUAGCAAGGUUAACCGAAUAGGGGAGCCGAAGGGAAACCGAGUCUUAACUGGGCGUUAAGUUGCAGGGUAUAGACCCGAAACCCGGUGAUCUAGCCAUGGGCAGGUUGAAGGUUGGGUAACACUAACUGGAGGACCGAACCGACUAAUGUUGAAAAAUUAGCGGAUGACUUGUGGCUGGGGGUGAAAGGCCAAUCAAACCGGGAGAUAGCUGGUUCUCCCCGAAAGCUAUUUAGGUAGCGCCUCGUGAAUUCAUCUCCGGGGGUAGAGCACUGUUUCGGCAAGGGGGUCAUCCCGACUUACCAACCCGAUGCAAACUGCGAAUACCGGAGAAUGUUAUCACGGGAGACACACGGCGGGUGCUAACGUCCGUCGUGAAGAGGGAAACAACCCAGACCGCCAGCUAAGGUCCCAAAGUCAUGGUUAAGUGGGAAACGAUGUGGGAAGGCCCAGACAGCCAGGAUGUUGGCUUAGAAGCAGCCAUCAUUUAAAGAAAGCGUAAUAGCUCACUGGUCGAGUCGGCCUGCGCGGAAGAUGUAACGGGGCUAAACCAUGCACCGAAGCUGCGGCAGCGACACUGUGUGUUGUUGGGUAGGGGAGCGU
rnacentral:rRNA from 1 species